ensembl:lncRNA novel transcript
ACAGAAAACUCCACAGGCCUGGGCUCGGCUCAUCGCACAGCCUCCAUCUCUGGAUGCCCUGAUUCAAGGAGAUUCAAAACCCGUGUCACUGCUGCCAUCUUCCUAGAAUCCCUUUAAAUCCUCAUGGAUUUGCUGACAUUGGGAGCAUCCUGAAAGAGUCCCCAUGCUAGGGUGGCUGCAGUAACAGGUACAAUGAGAAAUGAUGGUUCUCCCCACUCCAGAAAAAAUCAAAUCAGAUUGUGAAUUUAUUCCCUGACAUUAACACACGGCAUUACAGGAGCAUGUACAUCACAUGGUCAAUUUAUUGGCAUGAGGAUUAUGUCAUCGGGGAAUAAAUGGGAAAUUCUCAAGGAGAAGCCAAGUUGUGAGCAGUGCACCUUCACAAGCAAAGCCUCGACUGAAAUCUUCUCUAACAAUUGGCUGGUCACUCCUGAGCGUAAUCUACCCCUUCAGAACACUGGGGAUGAAUUUAGAGACAUCGAAGCCUCCUGAUGAGAAAUACGUGUCCACUCACCGGGAGAACUGAAAUACCAGGAGAUUUCUACACAAAUCUCACAGAGUCCUUCUGGCGUCCUAGGGGUUUGCUCACAUAUAAGGGACUUUCUGGUAGGAAGAGAGUCUCUUUACAUUCUUUAUUAUAUGAUCCUGGUGGCUUUGUAGAGAGAUGGUACAGCUGACAGAUCAUGUCCUGUGGGGCCAGGGAGUUGUGUGUGUGUGAAUGCUCUGUGAACUUGGGCAAACUACUUAGCCUCUCUGAGCCUUAGCUGCAUCAGCUUUGAAAAACAGGAUGAUAAAAUGGAGUCACCUUAUUUGACUUUUAUAAAUACACUUACACAAUUACACAAGUUGUGGGGAUGGGAAGAGAGAGUUGGGGAAAGAGAAAUGAGAGAGAGAGAGAGAGAGAAUGAAUGAUAAACAAUUUAAACAACAGUGGGGUGUAGACCAACGCCCAGCCUGGCAAGGGUGAGCCCAGAGAGCCUUCCCUCCUGGCUAUUGGCAGCCUCCGCAUGGAAGCCUGUCGUUGACUUCUUAAUGAUGAGAGAUGUUCUGGGGGCACUCCAGGAUUCUUGGACAUGGGAUCGUCUUCACAGCUGUGUCUAUUGAAAGCUGAAGUUUCAGUCUCCCCUGCCCCCUGCCCCCUGGAGUGGCUUCCCAGGGGAAAUUCAAGGGCACCUGUGACUGCAUGGCUGCUUUCCUUUCCUUUACUCAAUGCCGUCCUUUGGUGACAGCCGUGUCUCAUGCCAGGAUACAUGAGGUGCUCUAUAGUAGUAUGUUUUCCCUCCUGGGAGGUAAUUUUAUUUAAAUGUGAAGUCAAAAGGAUCACUAAAUAGAACCAUGAGGCAACCACUCUGGGCACCUGCCUGGUGAUAUCCACAAGAGCUGACCACAGGUGCCCCCUGUGCCCAGCAAGUCCUUGGCUGGGCAGUCACACAACAGGCAUGGGGAUGUGUGGCCACCAAGCCCUCCAGGGCAGUGCUAUUUGUAAUAGUCCCAAAUGGGAGAGAUGGCAAACGCCCGCCAAUGGGGCAGCAUGGAUAAAUGGAUGCUGCACAGCAACGGCGAUGAGUGAGCCCCAGCACCCGUGAGCUCACCAGUGUAAUAUUGGGUGGAAGAAGCCAGGAGGAAGGGCAUUCACAUUCUGUGAUUCCAGCUACACUAUGUUUAAAUAUGGGCAGAGCUAGGCUGUGGUGCUGGAAGCCAGGACAGUGGGAUCCUUGCAUGGGGGUGAUGGUGCUGGUAGGUUCUGGUAAUUUCCUCUUCUUGAUCUGGGUGUAAACAUUUUGUGAAAAUUCAAUGAGCUGUACAUUUAUGACUGGUACAUUUAUGACUUUGUAUGAAUAUUAUACUUUCAUAAAACUACUUUAAAAUAU